GGGGGGGGGGUGUCUGUGACCUGUCACACUGGCCCUGAGCUUGGCUAACCAAAGCUUUUAGCUCUCAGCUGCCCUAGAAAUCAAGGCAGUCUCUGCGAUGUUCUGUGACUACCUCUGCGUGUAAGGCACGUGAGCAGGUCCAGACCGGGAGAACACAUGUAACAUCUGCAAGAUGCCUGAUACUCAGUAGGAGUGACCAGAAACUCAGGAGCCAGCAGGUGGCACUCUGGAGACAUGGAGAGGCCAGGACACAUGGCCAAGAACGCCUCUCUGGUCCUGUCCCACCCUUCCUUCCCCUGCUCCCAGCUCACCCUGGAAGUCAAAGUCGGUGAGAGAGGGGUUGAUGGCGUCCAGCUCUUCCUGCAUCUUGUCGAUCUUGGAAGGAUUGAGGGCCCACAGACAGCCCUUUCGAGAGGAGCUUCCGGAUUUAUUCUCCACCUUCUCGAAGCACUUGUUGAGAGACAGGUUAUGGCGAACGGAAUUCUUCCAGC